CUACGGUAUCAUUUUCACAUAACUUCCUCUCUCGUACGAAAUUCUCACACCAGAAUAACACGAAGUUUCCAACCCCAUCAUCCACAAAAUCUAGCUGGUAAUUUUCCCCAGUGUCCAAAUCCCUAACUGCGAUAGUAUGGCCAUGACAACGAUCAUUCAAUUGGACCCCCCACACCCAAUGUGGAACAACCUCAUCAAAUAAUCGUUUGGGAAGAACAAACCCAUGUAGCAAGUCUACUGGGUGGAGAAAUUUAAUCGCCUCCCACUGAACAUGAUAGUCUUUGGGAUUGAGUAGGAAAUCCUUUAGUUCUGGGUCAAUUGUUUGGGUGAUCGUAAAAUCAUAAUGAAUGAAGAAAAACAAAGUGCGACGGGUUUCAUCAUAACCUAAACUAAAUACACCGUUCACCCCAAUCUGAAUCCUGCUUUGUAUUCCAGCCCAAAAUAUAUGAAACUUCAGUUUUUGCCAAUCCAAAGUCACUGUUAUCUUCCUGUUGGAAUCGAUACUAGUAUUGUAUUUGAAGCGAUGAAUGCACACAUCGAUUUGAACGUGAUCGACAGCACCUGACCUUAACCCGUAUGGAAACUAAUUCCUUGGUCCAAAUCCUGCUCUGUCAACAUCUUUUCAACUCGAAGCGAUUCUGGUUCUAGAUCAGCUUGGGGUACUUCUUCUUCUUGGGGUACUUCUUCUUCUUCUUCUUCUUGGGUUAAAAAAGGCGGUAACGGAUCCAUACGAACCCCAGGUAGAUAUUUCAGGAAUACAAAUAACAAAAAAGAAUUCAUCUUUUUGAAUUUCAAGAGGUAUUAGGGUUUCCGAAGAGGUUAAUGGAAGAGAUUAGGUUUUCAAAAUUUUCCGAGAAAGAAAAUUCUGGUGCAGAAGAAAGUGGGUUUAGGAUUCUUUAAGUAAUUGAAAGAUGGUUUGAUUGUUAACGAUGAAUACAGAAAGGGGUUUUCGUUUCAAAGAUUAAUCAAAGAGUUUGGGUCUUCAAAUUCUUCCGAGAAAGAAAAUUUCUUCUGCAAAUCAGGGUUUUUGAAGUUGGGAACUGAAUGAUGGGUUUAUUGAUAACAAUGAAUAGAACUGAAAUUGAAAACAAAGAUCAUGAUGAAACAGAGGUUUGGGUAACAUAAUCAGAGCUCAUGGAGAAAGGGGUUUCGGAAACAGAAGCAGAGCUAUUGGAGAAACAAUUGGGAAGAAAAAGAAUUCGAAUUUAUAUACGUUGUGACGGAAUUAAAUGAGCAGAGACAAGAAAAGGAAUGUAGCCGUUAUAUCUAUGCUUUGUUUCCAACUUUCAAUAAAUGCGCGUUCUUUGCGGUUAGUGCCUUAGAACAUGUGCAGCUAGUGUUUAUAGGAAUUAAAAGCUGUUGCUUGGUAUACUGUAUUAGACGUGAUUGUGACAGCCUUGCUGCUGUGGGUCUUUCCUAAUUAUUAUCAUCCCUGUGCGAUGGGUACUUCUAAACAAGACAGAAACUAUUGAAGAGGAGAUUUAAAAGUAAAGGGUAGCUUAUAGUGUUCAUGAAUUCUUUUCUGCAUACCCAUAUGAAAAACUGAUUGUGCUUCUUAGAUGUGGUGUAUUGGGAUUAUGUGCAUUCGACGAGAGCCUUACGAAGGCACUUCGGCUCGACUUUCAUUACGGAUGCUGGAAAUCAUGCCGAUAGGGUUGGCACUGGACCAAGGAUAGUUUCUAUUAUCUAUUAGUUCAAGAGAAAUGCUUAUACUCGCAAUGAUGCUCGGUCUUGUUUCGGGUGCAACCUCUGGGAAGAUGGAUUCAUUAAGGAAGUGGGGAAGAGUGAAGUCAUGGAUUGGAGAGCAGUCAUAUACUAAUCCUUGGAUGGAGUGACAAAUUGAUAUGGGAGGACAUUUUAGGAUUUGAAAAUGCAAAGUUUUACAUCAAAAGGUGUUCACAGUUGUACCCUUUAUGCUUCAAAGAUGUGCUAAUUUCAUUUCCAGAUGCAGUAAUUUGUGGAAUUUAAGGUUGCUGCAAACGGCGGGGAGAUUGUUCUUUAUCUGGAUGAUGAUUAUGUUCAAGCUGAGGAUGAUGAUAUCUGUAGCCCGGAUCCCAUACCAGAGAUGCUGCAGGUACGCAGCGGAUAUUUCCCCAGUGUUUUUAUCUCUCUAAAAUAUCCAGAGAAGUUACUAUUCAGUGGUUAGCGUCGUGACAUCAUGAUCAUGGUGAGGCAUUGUUGGCUCAAGGUUCAGAAUUAGUGAGUUUUCAGUUGAAGAAAGAGAGAGGAAACACACUGAUUCUGGACUAGCGAACCUAAGUCUUGUCCUAGGGCCUGCAGGUACUGCCAAUAUUUUGAGAGGACAUAGUGGAAUUUGAGAGUUCAGGCAAUGGGCUUGGGUAUUACAAGUAACCAUAUUGCAGAGACCUUGGUAGAGUGGUGGCAGGAUUAGAAUCUGGCAAUUGACUGGUAUGUUUUCUGAAGUAAGGUGGCUUCGGCUUCACAAAAUAUUGUUGGCUUGUUGCAGCUAAAUGGAGUAGACUUAAAAGCAAUUCCAUUCUGUGGUUGUUGGCUUGUUGCAGCUAAAUGCAGUAGACUUAAACAUUAUGAGGAAAUCAGUUAUGAACAUCCAGACAAGGAGGUUAGUUUUGCAGAGGAUAGACUGCAAGAGAGUCGCCUGCGAGAUUUGAAAAGCCUGACUUUGUAUACUGAGUAGAUGAGCAGGGAGUCAGAUACUGUAAAUUUGUAUAUUUGUCACCUUUUUGUUAAUUUUGUGGAGUCCUAUGCUUCAGUUAUCAAUUCUUUGUAGCUA